rnacentral:lncRNA from 1 species
AAGCAGAGGGAAGUGUGUGGAGGCAUGGGGGAAGGCAAUGGCAGCAUGUCUGAAGAGUGACUUGAGCUGUUUUGUAGUCGUCUGCUUGGGGUCCUGAUCCCGAUUGUUGAUCCCGAUGGAGAAAACAACAAUCUUGACAGUCAAAUUGGGCUUAAAUUUCUUUAUUAUUUCAAGCAGAUGGUAUACUUUAGCCCCUGGGUAGCCGUCAAGCUGGAUAUGAGGGUUGUUGUGAGGGGGGAUUCUAGAGAUGUUGGAAUCCCCCAGUAUCAGGACUGGCUUGUCGGCUUUGAUGGUCCAGUCCUGUACUCUCCGGUGUGGUCUGGCGACGUGGCAGGUGGGCGUGAAUGGGGAUGGAAGGGAAGGAGUGAAUGGUGCCUGAAAAAAAGGAUGGUUAGGAAGGGGGGGGAGGGGGGAGGAGGGGGAGAAGGAAAGAGAAGAGGAGAGGGAGGGAGAAGGGGGGGUAGGUGGGUAGGGAGUCCUGGGGAGGCUCGAGUCCAGAGCUGCAGGUGUGCUGGUCUCCAGAGGGGGCCCGCCAAGCAGCACGGCCCCGUCGGACUGGACACAGGAGGGUUCAGUGAGGUUUGCGGUGCAGGCUGUUUGACCUUCCGGAUCCUUGUCAUCAUAUACCCUCCUGUGGUUGCGUGGUAUGCAGUCCGACGGAGUAUGCCGACCCGCAGAGCCCGAACAGGAACCAGCAACACCUGCAGGGGAAAGGCAGAGGGGGGGAGAAAAAAAAUUAAAGAAAGUGGUAGGGGGUGUGUGGACCCGGGCCUGCACCCACCUGUGUCGGGUGCCACCAGGUGAUUUAAAGGAAUUGAGUGUGGUGGUGGGGUCGUCUGCCCAUGUAAGACGAGUGGCGGGGGAAAUGAUGUGACUGGGCUCCGUGCUCAAGGUUUCUGUGAAUUCAGAGGAGAGGUGAGUGGUGUCAAGAUAGUGGUGCGGUCACCGGAGUGGUCAGGGUCUGGGGAAAUGUCCGGAGGGGAGUGGUGGUUGGGGUCUGGAGAGGGGUAGUGGUGAAGGUCAGGGGUAAGGUGGUUGGGGUCAGGAGAGGGGCAGUGGUGCAGGUCGGGGGUAAGGUUGGGGUCAGGGUCAGGGGUUGGGGAAGGGAUAGGAGUGGUCGGUGUGCAGGUAGGGGGUGAGGAGUCGGUUUGGACCUCGGAAAAGGGAAAGUCUGGUGGGGGACUGUGCGUCGGGGAGGUGAGGGAACUCUUCCUCCGUGAUAGGAGGAAGGGGGGUGUGUCUCUGACCAGUAGUGAGGGGGGAUGGGACGGGGGUGCGGGUGGUGGGAGGUGCAGUCAUGUUCAGUGUGUUAGUGUACUAUGAGUGUAGUGUCUGUGGUCAGCCUGGGGCCAUACCUCUUCCUGGCCCACCCCAUGGCAAUUUGGAGGGCCAUGGGGUUACGGGGUGUAUGUUUGAGUGUAUCAAUAGUGUUGUUGUAGUGUUGUUGUAGAAUGGUCAUGUUUGUGUGCAUCCAGUUUAUUGUGUUAUCAUGUAUGAGACUAUGUGUGUGUUCAGUGGGUGUGGAUGGCUUGAUGAAGCAGGUGAGUCUAUUCACCUGCCUCAUCAUGCCAGGUGGAAAUGUGCGUGUGGUGAGAGCCCUAUCCGUGACCUGCUUGUGAUGUAUUGCUUGUAUGAGCUUAAAAUAUUGUUUGCUGAUAUGUCUGGUGAGUGCGUCUGGUGGAUGGUUGAGUGCUGGGUGUAUGCGUGUGUCCGAGGUGGUGGAUCUAUGUGUAGUGUGUCUAUAAUGUCUGAUGGUGGGUGUGCGUGUGCGUGGUUGUGUGGCGUUUGUGUUGUGUGUGGUGUUGCUGUGUGCACGCCGUGCAUACUCACCAAAUCCACUGGAAUGCACAGCCUGGCCCCUGUUUAAAAACAUUUCAAUCGUGGAUUUAAUGGGCUCUUACCUACUCCAACGCUGUGCUGAGGUCCCAGGUGGUGGACGUUUUCUCAGGUGGUAGGACAAUCCCGGAAUGUUUGUUCAGAUCCGGGUUGUCCUGUGGAGUACUGGUAGAGAGCUCAGGUUUGGAGUUUAAAAGUUCUUUUUGUUUUAUUCCACGAGGCAGCAGGAGGGCAGAGCCCACACCAAUAAUUAAAAGUUUUUAUCUUUAUUGUUAAAAAUUUAAAAUAUGGUUUAAAAAGGAAACCAAAGAAGUGUAAAUACACUGGUAAAAAAACAAUGUGUCUAAAAACACUGAAUUAAAAAACACUAGGCCCAAAACACAAUGCCACAAACACAAGGCUUAAAACACAGGGUUAAAAGACUAGGUUUAAAAAGACAGUAUCAGAAAACACAAUGCUUAAAACCAACAAUUAAAAUCACUACAAUCAAAGUAAAAGGGGUACCGGUCGUGUGCAGUCCCGUGGAUCCCUGACGUUUCGCAACUGCGUUGCUUCUUCAGAGGGAUAUGGCGAGCAGCACGGCUGGGCUGUUUUUAUAUGCGGACAGGUGUGUGUGAUGUGAUUGGAUAAUUGGCACCUGGUGUGUGUGUGUCUCUCUGAGCGUAGAGAUGGUAGGUGCCAAUUAUCCAUGUGUUGAAGGUGAAAGAGCAGAUCUAUAGCUCCACGGAUAGGGCUGAGGGCUGGCAGACGGAGGGCCAGGGUUCGAAUCCGACUGACCCCAGGCUGUGAAAAAACUUAAAACAACAAAUCAACAAAAAGAUGUAGUGUGUGAGUGUAGGCAAAGAGGGAAAGAGAAGAGGAGUGGGGGGGUAGGAGAGGCACUAGGGGAUUCCAACAACCUGAUGGGUGUACGGAGGAUGAGUGUGGUGUAAAUCAGUCCAGAUCAGUGGCACUGGCAGGGUUAGGUUUGGGGAAGGGUUGUGGGUAAGGGAUACAGGGGUGUGUUUUGUUUGCACUGGCCAACAGAUCUGUGGAUGGGUGUUGUAAAUGUAUGAGAAUGUAAGUAGAAUACUUACCAGGGGGGGAUCAUGGGCACCAAGCAGAGUACUUAAGUUAUGUACUAUGUGUUAGCAUUUAGAGUCUACAAUUGGAGAUGUGUGCACCAAGAUUCAAAAAUGAGUUUUGCUGUGUUUGUGGUCCAAGUAGUGUUGUCAGUAUCAGUGAAAAAUGUGUCUGCUGGAAUUAAUGGUAGAAUGUUGUGGGUUUUUUUCAAUGUGUUGUUUAUGACUGUAAGAUUACUCUGUUGUGUUUGGGUGAGGUGCGGUGAAAAGUGAAGCAGAGGGAAAUGUAUGGAGGCAUGGGGAAAGGCAAUGGCAGCAUGUCUGAAAAGUGACUUGAGUUGUUUUGCAGUCGUCUGCUUGGGGUCCUGAUCCCGAUUGUUGAUCCCGAUGGAGAAAACAACAAUCUUGACAGUCAAAUUAGGCUUGCAUUUCUUUAUUAGUUCAAGCAGAUGAUAUACUUUAGCCCCUGGGUAGCCGUCCAGCUGGAUGAGGGGGUUGUUAUGGGGAGGGAUUCUGGAGAUGUUGGAAUCUCCCAGUAUCAGGACUGGCUUGGCGGCUUUGAUGAGCCAGUCCUGCACUCUCCGGUGGGGCCUGAUGAUGUGACAGGUGGGUGUGAAGGGGGCUGGAAG